AAAUAUAUCACUUUGUUUUGGUUUUUUCCGUUACUGUAGUUAUUAUAAUUCGCAAGUUACACAUUUUUUUCAUUUAUUAUCCCAUAUAACCAUAUUUUUUUAGUUUUUUUGCCUGACGGAAAAUGUCAUGUUUAUUUCAUUACAAAAAUCAAGAUUUAUUUUAAUUCUUGAUUUUGAUAUAAUUUCCAUUUUGGAUGUUUCUGAUUUUCAUUGACCAAAUAAGGAGCAAAUUUCUUUAUCUUUAGCUUUACCCUUUUUUUAACCUUUAAUUUUUGUGAAAAUCAUUACCAAUAAAUCGGAUAUUUCAACUUCCCCUUGUAACUUAUUACUACAUUUAAUGUAUCUAGAGAAAGAGACCUGGAAAUUUGUUGCUGUUUAUUGUAAUUAUUAUUUUUAUCCUUAAAAAGUUGUUAAAAAAGCACAAUGGUGAUAGAUUGUUGUGAAAUGUUUCUCCUCCUUUGAUAUAGUAAUUCAUUUUUAAAUUUUGGAAACGAUUAUGCGCUACGGGUCACGUGGGUUUGAUGAACACGUGAUCUGCGCGACCUGGUUGCGCCCGAAUGUGUUGGAUUUCCUCAAGGCAGCCAGUUUGUCUACAAACGAUUUCUCGUUUUACCCUUUAGGAGAAUUGAAGGAACAUCUAUUUUCUUGCUACCUUCCAUUACAAACCAGCUGAGUUGGUUAUAGUUAUUAGUAUCACAAUAAAACGUCAAUUCCUUUU
rnacentral:sRNA from 1 species